GUCACCUCUUCGCCAGCACCUUUUCCUUCACAGAGGCUUCCCGCAACUCGGAGGUCACCUCUUCGCCAGCACCUUUUCCUUCACAGAGGCUUCCCGCAACUCGGAGGUCACCUCUUCGCCAGCACCUUUUCCUUCACAGAGGCUUCCCGCAACUCGGAGGUCACCUCUUCGCCAGCACCUUUUCCUUCACAGAGGCUUCCCGCAACUCGGAGGUCGCCUCUUCGCCAGCACUUUUUCCUUCACAGAGGCUUCCCGCAACUCGGGGGUCGCCUCGUCUGCAGCUUAAUUUUCUCCGUCGGGCGUCAGGUCACGAGCAUUGUUACCGGACCGUCCCAGGUGGCUGUAGGUCCCUUAAUGAGC